rnacentral:tRNA from 1 species
UCCUCAGUAGCUCAGUUGGUUAGAGCACCUGACUGUUAAUCAGGGUGUCCCUGGUUCGAGUCCAGGCUGAGGAG